rnacentral:rRNA from 1 species
UACGGAGGGUGCGAGCGUUGUCCGGAAUCACUGGGCGUAAAGGGCGCGUAGGUGGCAGGGCAAGCGUGCGGUGAAAGCCCGGGGCUCAACUCCGGGUCGGCCGUGCGAACUGCCUUGCUCGAGCACGGUAGAGGCAGGUGGAAUUCCGGGUGUAGCGGUGGAAUGCGUAGAGAUCCGGAAGAACACCGGUGGCGAAGGCGGCCUGCUGGGCCGUGGCUGACACUGAGGCGCGACAGCGUGGGGAGCAAACAGG